CCUCUAUACUGUAACUUUAUAUCAGAGGUCAGAGGUCAGGGUUAGUAGUAGUACCUCUAUACUGUAACUUUAUAUCAGAGGUCAGACGUAUACUGUAGCGUUUAUAUCAGAGGUCAGAGGUCAGGGUUAGUAGUAGUACCUCUAUACUGUAACUUUAUAUCAGAGGUCAGAGGUCAGGGUUUGUAGUAGUACCU